UACGUAGGGUGCAAGCGUUAAUCGGAAUUACUGGGCGUAAAGCGUGCGCAGGCGGUUUUGUAAGUUUGUCGUGAAAUCCCCGGGCUCAACCUGGGAAUUGCGAUGAAGACUGCAAGGCUAGAAUCUGGCAGAGGGGGGUAGAAUUCCACGUGUAGCAGUGAAAUGCGUAGAGAUGUGGAGGAACACCGAUGGCGAAGGCAGCCCCCUGGGUCAAGAUUGACGCUCAUGCACGAAAGGCGUGGGG
rnacentral:rRNA from 1 species